rnacentral:rRNA from 1 species
GAUGAACGCUGGCGGCGUGCCUAAUACAUGCAAGUCGAGCGAACGGACGAGAAGCUUGCUUCUCUGAUGUUAGCGGCGGACGGGUGAGUAACACGUGGAUAACCUACCUAUAAGACUGUGAUAACUUCGGGAAACCGUAGCUAAUACCGGAUAAUAUUUUGAACCGCAUGGUUCAAAAGUGAAAGACGGUCUUGCUGUCACUUAUAGAUGGAUCCGCGCUGCAUUAGAUAGUUGGUAAGGUAACGGCUUACCAAGGCAACGAUGCAUAGCCGACCUGAGAGGGUGAUCGGCCACACUGGAACUGAGACACGGUCCAGACUCCUACGGGAGGCAGCAGUAGGGAAUCUUCCGCAAUGGGCGAAAGCCUGACGGAGCAACGCCGCGUGAGUGAUGAAGGUCUUCGGAUCGUAAAACUCUGUUAUUAGGGAAGAACAUAUGUGUAAGUAACUGUGCACAUCUUGACGGUACCUAAUCAGAAAGCCACGGCUAACUACGUG